UAUUCCUUUAACACUGUCCCGUGAGGCAGGCAAGGAGCUGGUUAGAAAAAAGUGCAGGGGAAACUGUACUUAUAUUUCGUGAAAUCUCCUUGUAUAAGGAGAUUUUUUCUUA
rfam:Streptococcus sp. 'caviae' strain Cavy grass 6 NODE_3_length_243576_cov_201.465, whole genome shotgun sequence.